rnacentral:rRNA from 1 species
AGUGAACGCUGGCGGUAGGCCUAACACAUGCAAGUCGAACGGCAGCACAGUAAGAGCUUGCUCUUACGGGUGGCGAGUGGCGGACGGGUGAGGAAUACAUCGGAAUCUACUUUUUCGUGGGGGAUAACGUAGGGAAACUUACGCUAAUACCGCAUACGACCUACGGGUGAAAGCUGGGGAUCUUCGGACCUUGCGCGAUUGAAUGAGCCGAUGUCGGAUUAGCUAGUUGGCGGGGUAAAGGCCCACCAAGGCGACGAUCCGUAGCUGGUCUGAGAGGAUGAUCCGCCACACUGGAACUGAGACACGGUCCAGACUCCUACGGGAGGCAGCAGUGGGGAAUAUUGGACAAUGGGCGCAAGCCUGAUCCAGCCAUACCGCGUGGGUGAAGAAGGCCUUCGGGUUGUAAAGCCCUUUUGUUGGGAAAGAAAAGCAGCAGGUUAAUACCCCGCUGUUCUGACGGUACCCAAAGAAUAAGCACCGGCUAACUUCGUG